CCAAUAGCGUAUAUUAAAGUUGUUGCAGUUAAAAAGCUCGUAGUUGAAUUUCGGGGUUAGUAAGUUGGUCAUGCCUUUGGUAUGCACUGGCUUUACUGAUUCCUCCUUCUUGACGAACCGUGAUGUCAUUAAUUUGGUGUUGCGGGAAAUCAGGACCGUUACUUUGAAAAAAUUAGAGUGUUUAAAGCAGGCUAACGCUUGAAUACAUUAGCAUGGAAUAAUGAAAUAGGACGUUAAUCCUAUUUUGUUGGUUUCUAGGAUCGACGUAAUGAUUAAUAGGGAUAGUUGGGGGCAUUAGUAUUCAAUUGUCAGAGGUGAAAUUCUUGGAUUUAUUGAAGACUAACUACUGCGAAAGCAUUUGCCAAGGAUGUUUUCAUUAAUCAAGAACGAAAGUUAGGGGAUCGAAGACGAUCAGAUACCGUCGUAGUCUUAACCAUAAACUAUGCCGACUAGGGAUCGGAUGAUGUUAAUUCUUCAAUGACUCAUUCGGCGCCUUACG
rnacentral:rRNA from 1 species